CAUGAAGUUGCCUAAGUAACAAAAAUGUUUUAUGAGAUGCUUUUUGGAAAGGAAUAGGACCUUCCUCACCUAAAGCUUUCUGAAACUUUGUGGAUUAUACCUCACAAAUGACCUGCAGCAUAGUCUAUCUAAUUUUCUCCAUAUCCUGAUGGUCACUUCAUGGAAUGGCUACUCAUCCAGCUAUGUAGUCUUACACAGGAUGGGUUUUUUUUCCCCCCGCAGUUUACUCCAACAGUACACAAUUGAUCUAUACUCUCCUCUGGGUGAAAGAAGAUCCAUAAAAGAAAUCCUGCCUUUUUGUGAUUCAGUUCAGUGGAGAGAUAUUUCCUGGAAAUAUAAUGACCAUCUUGGGAAGGUAAAGGAACCCACACAGGAAGGCUAAGAAGGAGAAGGCAGCAUACUGAAGAUGAGAGACCAGAAGUUAGGGAGAAACCUAUUUUCCUGAUGGCAUCACUGGGCUGCUUAAAUAUUCCA